GUUCUGCCUCAUUACAGCUAAAGAAGCGGCUAAAUUAGUGCAGGAGAGCGUGCACACCUGUCAGCGAGGAGAAGAAACGUGUGGCGGCCAGGUAGGAAAGGGUUGCGGGGGGUGCUGGAGCCUAGCUCAGCUGGAUUCGGGUGGAAGUUGGCGUACACCCUGGACAAGUCGCAACCUCAUCACAGGGCCAACACAGAUAGACAGCUAAUUAUUGUAACAUCGCGAUAACGGGUCCUUCCUCCUGUGUCACCAGUCUGACGUCAUCCUUGAUUCCUGAUUGUUUCCACCUGUCCCCCAUCACUUCCACGUCCUAUUUAAGCUCACUUCUCCGUUCGUCCUUUGCCAGAUCAUCUCGUUUUUCGUGGCUUCUAGCGUUCAUGUCCUUGUCCAAGUCCAUGUCCUUGAUUCCCUCCUUGCCUUGCUCCUGUUUUUCCUGGUUCCCCUUUUUGAUCAAAGCAGUCUUUUGCUGUAAUUUUGAGUUUACUUUUGCCUCCUUCGAGCGUCCUUAGUUUUCCUUCGUUGACCUAAUUGGUAGUUUUUGUUAUUCCAGAUUUCGUUUGAUUGCCUCAUUGAUUGAGAGAUUUGUGGUUUAUUCAUAGAUAGUGUAUUUGUAUUGAUCGUUAGAGUUUUUCCUCCUGUUGGAGCGCUUUUUGUUAAUUCAUAUUGCUAUUCAAUUUUUUGUUAGUUUUUUCUUAAUAGUAGUAUUCCUCCUCAUUUUUUCGGAGUGAUUUUUGAGUUACGUGUUUAUCCUCGGUAUUGUUUUCCGUGCGUUGUUUAUAUUAUUGUGAGAUAAUUUUUGUACCGCAGGUAAAACAGUUAUUUCAAAAUAAAAGCUUUCAUUUUUGGAAACUUCUUCUCU